rnacentral:misc_RNA from 1 species
GCAGGGAAAGAGAUUGUUGCAUUUUAAAGUUUAUCAAUUCAUUGAGAAAAGGAAUACAUUUAGUCCUCACAGCUCUAAGCUUGUUUUGUGAUCAUGUAUAUGCACAUAUAUUUUAUAAAAAUAUUUUAAAGAUAUGCACCAUACUACGGAACUAAAUGAGUAUUAAUAUUGUAAAUAUUGUUAUUUUUUUAAAAAAACAUUUAUUUUAUCUCAAGAUUUUGUAUCAAAUAUUAUGAUGGACAGAAGAACUAGUCCUUUUAAAAUAUAUGUACUUGCCAGAUUAAUAGUUUAGUCUCAUUUCUAACCAUCCUACUGGUAUUGCACAUAUCAAUGGAAAUUUAAACCUUGCUUUCUCAAAAUGGAAAUAUUUCCAGCAUAUGAUUUUUCAAAUGGAAAUUUUUGCAGAACAUGAAGUUUUCAAACGGCCAGUUGUAAAACUAGCAGUGCAAAAUGGAAAUUUCCUUACCUACAUAGCUUAUGUAAAUAUGACAACAUUGUAACCGUAGAUUUCAUUUUCCCCCCCAUUUUUUCAUACACAAUUGACCUCAGUUAUCAUUAUGUUUUAUGAUGAAUAAUGUUAUUUAUUUUUGUACUUAACCGUCUAGCUUUAUAUGAUAUUUAGCUUUAUGCAAGUCCAAAAGCGUAAUAGUGAUGCUUGAUAAUAUGUUUAUUAGUUAUCAGUACUCAUUUCUAUUUUUAAUUUUCCAUAUUUUUUUUACUGAUAUAUUCUAACAGUGUACAUUUUGCUGUCACUAACUAAAGGCGGGUGUUUGUUAGUGUUAUUGUUGACUAUUAGUUAAUUGUGCCACUCUUUACGUCUACCAAAUAGCAGAGAGAGCAAUUCAACUUCUUUCUGAAUAACGUGCCUAUUAAAUGUUUGAACAAUACAAUAGAACAAAAUACUGUAAACCAACUCUUAUUUGCGACUUUUUUUUUUUUUGUGAAAGACCGGAGAUAAACCGGUUCGAAGCAACUAAUAUUCACUUUCAAACCUUAUCAACACCAUGUUGUUAUUUCACCCAUAACGCAAUUACGGAGCUAUUUGCGGAAAGAAAUAUUCACAACAAGGAGGCUAUCGCAAACCUUGCGAAAUUUUUUCACACACCAAUAAAAGUUGGUUUACAGUUUAAGGUGGAGGUAAAUUGAGGGCACAGUAACAUAGUCUAAAUUGAUAUCAUGCAGCACUGUUUUUGUUUUACUAAUGGUAACUGUUAUGCAUUGGUUUUGCUUUGUUUUGGGUGUAAUACAUGUGUAUGAAUCUCCUUUUUUUUAUUAUGUUUUAUCAUGAUCAUAAUGGAGAAGGGUGCUUCAGACAGAGUACACAGUGUAUUUUGGACAUGUAUAUUCCAAUGGAGAGAAAAAUAAAAACUGCCUUAAA